AAUUUAGAUAGAAGUAUAUUUACGGAGAGUUUGAUCCUGGCUCAGGAUGAACGCUGGCGGCGUGCUUAACACAUGCAAGUCGAACGUGAGAAUAGCAAUAUUUGAAAGUGGCAAAACGGGUGAGUAACACGUGGGAACCUGCCUCGAAGUGGGGGAUAACGAUUGGAAACGGUCGCUAAUACCGCACGGUUCUGCUCUGAUGGGAAUGGAGCAGAUAAAGAUUUAUCGCUUUUGAGAGGGGCCCGCGGCCGAUUAGCUAGUUGGUAAGGUAAAGGCUUACCAAGGCGAUUAUCGGUAGCUGGUCUGAGAGGACGAUCAGCCACACGGGAACUGAGACACGGUCCCGACUCCUACGGGGGGCAGCAGUGAGGAAUAUUGGGCAAUGGGCGAAAGCCUGACCCAGCAACGCCGCGUGGAGGAUGAAGGCUUUAGGGUUGUAAACUCCUUUUGUGGGGGAAAAGAAUGGAUGGUACCCAAGAAUAAGUCACGGCUAACUACGUGCCAGCAGCCGCGGUAAUACGUAGGUG
rnacentral:rRNA from 1 species